rnacentral:rRNA from 1 species
GAUGAACGCUGGCGGCGUGCCUAAUACAUGCAAGUCGAGCGAACAGACGAGGAGCUUGCUCCCCUGACGUUAGCGGCGGACGGGUGAGUAACACGUGGAUAACCUACCUAUAAGACUGGGAUAACUUCGGGAAACCGGAGCUAAUACCGGAUAACAUGUUGAACCGCAUGGUUCAACAGUGAAAGACGGUCUUGCUGUCACUUAUAGAUGGAUCCGCGCCGCAUUAGCUAGUUGGUAAGGUAACGGCUUACCAAGGCAACGAUGCGUAGCCGACCUGAGAGGGUGAUCGGCCACACUGGAACUGAGACACGGUCCAGACUCCUACGGGAGGCAGCAGUAGGGAAUCUUCCGCAAUGGGCGAAAGCCUGACGGAGCAACGCCGCGUGAGUGAAGAAGGUCUUCGGAUCGUAAAACUCUGUUAUUAGGGAAGAACAAAUGUGUAAGUAACUAUGCACGUCCUGACGGUACCUAAUCAGAAAGCCACGGCUAACUACGUG